GAUGAACGCUAGCGGCAGGCUUAACACAUGCAAGUCGAGGGGCAGCGCGAUGUAGCAAUACAUUGGCGGCGACCGGCGCACGGGUGCGUAACACGUAUGGAACUUACCCUUUACUGGGAGAUAGCCCGGAGAAAUCCGGAUUAAUAUCCCAUAAUAUACGAAGUGGCAUCACUUUGUUUUGAAAGCUCCGGCGGUAAAGGAUGGCCAUGCGCACGAUUAGCUAGUAGGUGAGGUAACGGCUCACCUAGGCUACGAUCGUUAGGGGGCCUGAGAGGGUUAUCCCCCACACUGGUACUGAGACACGGACCAGACUCCUACGGGAGGCAGCAGUGAGGAAUAUUGCGCAAUGGAGGCAACUCUGACGCAGCCAUGCCGCGUGCAGGAAGAAGGCGCUACGCGUCGUAAACUGCUUUUACCAGGGAAGAAACCCCCAGACGUGUCUGGGGUUGACGGUACCUGAGGAAUAAGCACCGGCUAACUUCGUGCCAGCA
rnacentral:rRNA from 1 species